AGAGUGGAUCGGGUAGUCGCUCGUUGUGGCGAACAGCGAGAGGAAAGUCCGGACUCCAAGGGCAGGGUGCUGGGUAAUACCCAGGCGGAGUGAUCCGACACCGGCGCCACAGAAAACAAACCGCCGAAGGCCCUGUGCUUCGCAUGUGGGCCAGGUAAGGGUGAAACGGUGGGGUAAGAGCCCACCGCGCCUGUGGUGACACAGGUGGCAAGGCAAGCGUCACCUGGAGCAAGACCAAAUAGGAGAACACCUCAAUAGAAUCUCCAAAUGUUUCUGGAGCCUAUUGAGAAUGGCUGGCCCGGUCAGGUUCUCGGGUAGGUCGCUUGAGGCUCGGGGUAACUCGAGUCCCAGAGAAAUGACUACCGCUCGAUGAAAUCAUCGAGUACAGAAUCCGGCUUAUAGAUCCACUCUCUUU
rnacentral:RNase_P_RNA from 1 species